rnacentral:lncRNA from 1 species
UCAAGACCUGUACCUGCUGUUGAUCCAAAGUUGCAUGAAAUCUAGAUCUAUUCUAAUCAGGUAUGUAGGCAUACAAUUAUCAGUACUCUUUUUAAGAAAUAUACAAUUAUCAGUACUCUUUUUAACAAUUUCUUUGAUAACUACUGUUCCUACAAGGAAGCCAAGGAAAUAUGAGAUUCAAUGAAAUAUGAGAUUCAAUGAACCUGAAAUAUACUGCUGAGGAUGUUGGCUACAAGAGCAAAUCUUGUACAAGAAAAAGUGCACAAAUCAAAUAACAGGUAUGAAAAUAAGAAAUCUGAUUACAAAC